rnacentral:misc_RNA from 1 species
UGAAAUUUUUAAACUUUGGAAUUUGAAAAUUCUGUGAAUUUUCUUCGAUUAAAAGUUAAACUGUACUUGAUAUAUAUUUUUUAACAAUUUGAAAUUGCUACUGUACAGAGAUAGUUUUUUCUAACUGUCGAUAAAGUAGUAUACUACCCUCAGUGGGUAACAGAGCAACAGAAGUGUGCGCAUUGUCAACAGGUUAGGUCACUGAUGGUCAGUCCGUGUUUCGUUUGUCGGUAAAAUAGUAAACAUAAAAAAUCUUGUGUUAUUGUAAUUAAAAAAAUAUUUGAGAUGGAAUCUAGUAGGUCAAGUUUAACUCCAAAGUUAUCUACAAUUUAUAUCUGUGCAGCUAUCAAAUUCUAAAAUCUGUACAUUUCCAAAAUAAAAAAAUUGCUGAGGAUGAAGUACUUACGUUUGGUGCCACGAAAGUCACAAGUGCGCUUGCGUGUUGCUCUUGAUUAUGAAGCAUGCUCAACCAAUCAGAGUAGACAUAUGAGACGAAUGAGAACUCGUCACGUGACGAAACUAAUGAUGUGAUACUUUCUGACAUGAGACAAAAAUUACAUGAUUAUUAUGCAUAUAUUUAACAACCCUCAAAUGAUCAAAAAGUGAGGUUAUUAAGUAUGUAAACAAAACAAGAUCAAUGUUCCUUAUGGACAACAGAGUAGAGGGUAUCUAUUCCUGCAGUAACUCAGAAACAACAGAUAUUAAAAGAAUCUAACAAUCACAAAAUCUUUGAAGAUUUCUCAGAGGAAGAAAUGUCUCUAUUUUCUGAAGAUUCAGAUACAGAAACUGAUUCUACCUGUCAAGAGGAAACAGCAGCAAACUCAGAAGAACCAUAUGCGAAUAGUCAAGGAUUAAUAGGAUAAAUGACUACUGGCGCAAACACCCACUGUUGAACUUACCCUUGUUACAUAGUUUUAAUUUUGAUCUCAUAGAUUAUACAUAUACAUAUAAAUCAAGACUGUUAUUUUGUUAACUGCAACGAUACUAUUAAUUCUAUUAUAAAAAUUUGUAAGAUGUUAUGUACAUAAGGAACCAAUACUGUUCAAUAAUUAUUUGUAUGUAGUAUUAAAUUAUAAACUUUCAGCAAAUAUACCAAA